AUUGAUUUUAUGCUUGCAUAAAUGAUUUUUAGAUUCGGAGCGAGUGGCGAACUGGCGAGUAACACGUGGGUAACCUGCCCCGAAGCGGGGGAUAACAUUUGGAAACAAAUGCUAAUACCGCAUAAUUAGUUGGAACCGCAUGGUUCCAACUUGAAAGAUGGCUCUGCUAUCACUUUGGGAUGGACCCGCGCCGUAUUAGUUAGUUGGUGAGAUAAAAGCCCACCAAGACGAUGAUACGUAGCCGACCUGAGAGGGUAAUCGGCCACAUUGGGACUGAGACACGGCCCAGACUCCUACGGGAGGCAGCAGUAGGGAAUCUUCCACAAUGGACGAAAGUCUGAUGGAGCAACGCCGCGUGAGUGAUGAAGGUUUUCGGAUCGUAAAACUCUGUUGUUAAAGAAGAACAAGUGUUAGAGUAACUGUUAACACUUUGACGGUAUUUAACCAGAAAGCCACGGCUAACUACGUGCCAGCAGCCGCGGUAAUACGUAGGUGGCAAGCGUUGUCCGGACUUAUUGGGCGUAAAGCGAGCGCAGGCGGUUUUGUAAGUCUGCUGCGAAAGCCCUCAGCUCAACUGAGGAAGUGCAGUGGAAACUACAAAACUUGAGUACAGAAGAGGAAAGUGGAACUCCAUGUGUAGCGGUGAAAUGCGUAGAUAUAUGGAAGAACACCAGUGGCGAAGGCGGCUUUCUGGUCUGUUACUGACGCUGAGGCUCGAAAGCAUGGGUAGCGAACAGGAUUAGAUACCCUGGUAGUCCAUGCCGUAAACGAUGAAUACUAGGUGUUGGAGGGUUUCCGCCCUUCAGUGCCGCAGCUAACGCAUUAAGUAUUCCGCCUGGGGAGUACGACCGCAAGGUUGAAACUCAAAGGAAUUGACGGGGGCCCGCACAAGUGGUGGAGCAUGUGGUUUAAUUCGAUGCUACGCGAAGAACCUUACCAGCUCUUGACAUCUUCUGCCAACCCAAGAGAUUGGGCGUUCCCUUCGGGGACAGAAUGACAGGUGGUGCAUGGUUGUCGUCAGCUCGUGUCGUGAGAUGUUGGGUUAAGUCCCGCAACGAGCGCAACCCUUAUUAUUAGUUGCCAGCAUUUAGUUGGGCACUCUAGUGAGACUGCCGGUGAUAAA
rnacentral:rRNA from 1 species